rnacentral:rRNA from 1 species
GGUUGGGUUAAGUCCCGCAACGAGCGCAACCCUACGUUUAGUUGCUAACGCGUGAAGGCGAGCACUCUAGACGAACUGCCGUUGACAAACGGAGGAAGGUGGGGAUGACGUCAAAUCAUCAUCGCCCCUUAUGACCUGGGCUACACACGUGCUACAAUGGGCGGUACGAAAGGGUCGCGAACCCGCGAGGGGGAGCCAAUCCCAAAAAGCCGCUCUCAGUUCGGAUUGCAGGCUGCAACUCGCCUGCAUGAAGCCGGAAUCGCUAGUAAUCGCGGAUCAGCAUGCCGCGGUGAAUACGUUCCCGGGCCUU